rnacentral:rRNA from 1 species
GUAGGGAAUAUUGGGCAAUGGAUGCAAGUCUGACCCAGCCAUCCCGCGUGCCGGAAGAAGGCCCUCAGGGUUGUAAACGGCUUUUGACGGUGAAGAAUCGACAGGAUGCGUCCUGUUUUGACGGUAGCCGUUGAAUAAGCACCGGCUAACUCCGUGCCAGCAGCCGCGGUAAUACGGAGGGUGCGAGCGUUGUCCGGAUUUAUUGGGUUUAAAGGGUGCGUAGGCUGGAAGGUCAGUCAGCGGUGAAAAGCUGUCGCUUAACGAUAGUCUUGCCGCAGAUACUUCCUUUCUUGGAUGAGGAGGAGGCCACUGGAACGGAUGGUGUAGCGGUGAAAUGCAUAGAUAUCAUCCAGAACACCGAUUGCGAAGGCAGGUGGCUGUACCUUAAUCGACGCUGAUGCACGAAAGCAUGGGGAGCAAACAGGAUUAGAAACCCGUUGUAGUCC